GACGGGGGAUGCAAGUGUUAUCCGGAAUUACAGGGCGUAAAGCGUCUGUAGGUGGUUUAAUAAGUCAACUGUUAAAUCUUGAGGCUCAACCUCAAAAUCGCAGUCGAAACUGUUUGACUAGAGUAUAGUAGGGGUAAAGGGAAUUUCCAGUGGAGCGGUGAAAUGCGUAGAGAUUGGAAAGAACACCAAUGGCGAAGGCACUUUACUGGGCUAUUACUAACACUGAGAGACGAAAGCUAGGGUAGCAAAUGGG
rnacentral:rRNA from 1 species